GGAGGAGGAGGCAGCUCAUUAAAUUUAGCCAGUAAAUUUCAUGAGUAGCAAAUCUUGAGGUCAGUUAAAUGUAUGGCCUAAUGCAAACAGUGUGUGCAAUACAUAUAAGUAUACAUAUUUAUCAUGUUUGAAAAAGCUACACAUAGGAAGAAAAGUCCAGUGACCCCUAGAUCUGUGCAUCUGUAUCCCACUAACAAACUUCAGAUAAGUUCCGCAGCAGAAGCAUCUCACCGAGCCCAGUGCUCUGAGAGCUCAGAGGCUGAGGCUGAGAUCCUAAUAAGUGAAAAUAUUUUGCCAAGAUUGUUGGCCAAUAUUUUUAAAAAUGAGAAGAUAUUUAAACUACUUUGAAAAUUCUGUCCUAACCAUAGCAUCCAAAGUGGGUAUUGCUUAGAGGAGGGUUCAGAGGCCAUAGGCAGAAAGAUGUAAGUCUUUUCUUUAAUGGCAUCAGAUUUGAAGUGAUCAUAAAAACAAGUUACUUGCUUCCCUCCUGUAAGUCCACAUUCACGUCACCUUUUCUGUAAGACCCGUCCUAUUUAAACACAUCUCCCAUCCCUUCUCUGCUGAGAUCAUUCUUGUAACAUUCCCAUUCUUCAAGGCAUAAUCUGUAAUUUUUGCAUUUUUUCACCAGACUUUCACAGUGACAUAAAGAAGAGAUGGAUUGUUCUUUGUUGUUCAUUCUUACAGCCUAGAAUCACUUCUGGGCCAUAUCAAGGCUUAAGAGUGUUUGUUAAAUGAAUUACUGAAUGAAUAAUCUUCAAAUUUAGGAGACUUGGAUUAGUGAAUUAUUAUAGUAUGAGAUCCCGUUCCACCUAAAAGAAAAAUUUUGGAAUCAAAUCUAAAUGGGGCUGUUGUGGCAUAUCCACCAAAGAAGACUGCUCAGACAUGUGUUUAAGCCAAUAGGAAGUCUUUAUUAACUGGCCAGCAACUAGACUAUACUGGGUGUUCAGGAACAUGGUGUAGCACUGAACCUUUCUCAGGGUGAGCCUUUAAGCACAGAAACUAUGUUCUGGGCUGAACAUACUCCAGUUAACAAGAACAGUUAGCCAGAAGUGAACUACAAAGCUAAAAAGCAAAGUUAGUACAUUUUUAAAGACUUUCCCAGGAAUAUGGAUUUGAUGGAGUAAGUCUUUGCUUUAGUUUGGGCAGGCGGUGCUGUCUAUGUGCUGAGUUUUGCAGCCUGAAUGGCACUUUUAUCAUAGAGCUGGUUGUGCUAAAGUCUUGGGGCAUAUUUACAUAGAUGCAGAUAUGUGGUAUCAUGGUUGCCUAACAUGUUCAAGGCCCUGGGUUUAAUCCCUCGUACCACCCAAAUUAAAAUAAUAAUAAACAAGAAAGGAAAGAAAAAGGAAGUAAACAAAAUAAAUCCUUCCAACAUAUUAACUGAAUAAAAAUAAUAUCCAUAUGCAAAAGUAAACAGAACUAACUGAAACAAACUGGAGUGGAAGAAAAAUAAAACAUGUUCUAGAGGAGUAAGAACAGGGAGUGGGCGUCAGUUUCCAUUUAAAGCAUGUUUUCAGGGCUGCAGAAAUGACUCAGUUAUUGAGGGCUUACUGCUCUUACAGGGGACCAAGAUUUGCCUCCCAGCGUACACAUGCCAGGUCACAACCCCCUGUCCUUCUAGGUUCAGAGAAUCUGAUAUCCUCUCUGGGCUUUGAAAGGCACCAGAGGCAUGUGUGAUGCACACAUAUUCAGCCAAUCAAAACUCCCAUACACAUAAAUUAAAAAUUAAAAAAAAAAACUCUCAAAACACAUUUCAUCCCACAUGAAAAUAGCCAUAGGAUAGAAAGCAAGGAGAAGGUAAGGAGGAGAAAUGGCCACUCCACUGGGAGUCCAGACAGCCUGGCUCAGCAUGCUCUUGGCCUUUCUGCUCCUUGUCUGAAGGCUUGGCAUUUUUGUCUAAGAUGAAGAAAGACUUUUUAGCCAAGGGACCUAUUAAAAGCUCAGUUUUCUUUGUCUGCACUUUGCAAAUCUGACUCAAGGAUUGGCAAGUCACUGCUGAAUGUUAGCUAAAUAUACAGUCUGUUCAAACCCAUUCAAUCCAGUCUUUCAGACCUCCUUAAAUUCCUUUCUUUUCUGUGUUCACCUGUCUUCCUGGGAGUCCUCUUUUAGAGAAGAGGAAAAGAAUAUUAUUUUUCUUUUUAAAGUAUAUUUUUCCUACAUGCACACAAUUCAUUUUUAUCAUAUUUCCUUCCCACUUAUCCCCCUAACCCUUCCCAAAUCCACCCUUGCCACAGGCUCCCAACUUUGUACCCUUUUGAUCUAUUGUGUCACGACCCACAAAGUCCACCUUUUACUGACCAUACACUCAAGAGUGUGAGGCCACCCACUGGGGUUCAGAGGACCUACCAGGGGCCACACCCU
rnacentral:lncRNA from 1 species